CCUAAGUUCCACUGGACUAACUUAUCCUCCUGCUCAGACUGACCAAUAAAUGUACUGAGGUAAAAAUAGACAUUUUUAAAGGGAAUAUUUCAAGGAUCUCAUUCACAGCACAGGCCCCAGGAUGCCGCGGUUGCAUGUUGGGAAUAUGCCAUGGGGAAAGGGUGAGUGGUGUGGGAAGACUGAGAGCUAGUGCUGGGGCUGAAAGAUGAAAAUGAAAUCACCACCACCACCACCUCUGCCACCACUUGGCUGGAGCCUUGCACAUUCCCUCCAAGAUGUGAAUGUAGUGAAUGACUUUUCAGAACGUCCAUGUUGAGAUACUGUUUGCCUUGAUUUGUUGGGCCACUGGCAGCCCUGCUCCAUUGCCUGUGAACCAGCUGCCCACACAAGUGCACUGAGAAGCAGGAGAGACACCACUGUCUCAGCCCUGGGCUGUGUGUUGAUUUCUGGGGCAGAUGACUCAGAAGAGCAGAGCCACUGGAAGCCCUGAUGUCCUUUUGUCCUUUUUGUCCCUAAGACAUGGAAGUGACAGUCUGUUCUCCAGGACAACCCUAAGAAACUUGUAACAUAGAGAAACCUCUCUACAUCUCUUGUUCAGCUUCCCCCUGAUUUGUUUUGGCUCUCAGCCCCACUUCAAAUGUACUCUCCCUGUGAAGAAAGAGAUGAGGAAAGGACAUUCAGAGGUCAUCCAGUCCAAGUGAGAUCAAGCCUUAAUCACUCAAGUUAUAAGUGCAGACCAUCAAGUAUUUGAGAAAACUAACACAGGUGGAAGAUCUAGCUUUACGUGCUCGCUCGAUGAGAGAGUUCAGUCUCUAAAAUAACUAAGGAUAUCUUCAAAGGAGAAAUGCAGUGAUGUUAAUACACAUUAAACCAGUCUGAUUUUCUAUCUCUGAAGGUACAGUAGUAAAACUCUCCCUGAGAAUAUCUCCCACAAAAGAUGAAAUAUUUGGGAGGGAAACUGGAACUCAGUUAUCAUAAGCCAUACCAGGAAUUACCAUUUCAUGAAAUCAGUGGGGACAUGGUUUUGAGAAAGCUAAAGCAGUGAAGCUGAUGUUACAAAGAUAUUCCCAGCUGCAGUUUUGGCUGUCUGCAACAGAACUUUGCAUAUUCCAGAAGUUUGUGCUGGGGCAGCAAAUUCAGAACCCUUAGAAAUGUACAGUGUUUACCAUUUCCUGUGAAAGCUGUGUGCCUAAGUAAAGCAGUUAUAUCAUUGGCCUCCUCUAGGGAGUCCAGGGUAGCUGUUUUCAGUUUUUAUGAUAAACACAUACAAAACAUUUGGAAAUCUACAGUAAUGCAUUUGAGGGGCAACAAAUGAGGAACUGAAAGCAUCACAAGGGACAUGUAGAGAUUGACAUGUAGAGAUGUACUAGGUUGACCAGUAGGAGCCCCUGACCAUGGCAGAUUCUUUCAGAGAAGUUCACAGUAUUCUUCUUUGCAUGCAUUGCUGGGAGCAGGGCACAGGCCCGCCUUGGUACCCAGGCCAGAAGCCUGCAAAGCUGACUGUGUGUGUUUGUCUCACAGACUAGCUCCCUAUGCAGGUGUUGUAUUUUCCUCUGAAAAAUCCGAAAAAUCCAGCCCUGGUCUUGAUAUACAUCCCACAAGGUUAAUUUAUUGUUCAAUAAAGAGUUAAAAAUACCAACCGUCUUCCAAAAGGCUUCAGUGGUCAUCUACUAAUUUUUAGCACAGUUACCUCUUUUAAUUUUUCUAAGAAAAAUGCAUAAAUACAUAAAUAAUUGCAAUGCUAGUUUCUGGCAGUAAGUGUGUGACUCACCAGGCACUGCUAAAUUCCUUUCUCAACCAGAUGAACUCUUAUUGUAGAUUUACUUUUUUUAUAUUUUCACUUGGGUUUUUAAAUCUGCAUACUCAAAUUAAUCCUAAAAGAUUUAUAAUAAGAUUAUCUCUCUCAAAUUCAGCUUUUCAAAACUACAACAUCUAGCAGGGUUGUCUAGACUUCCUCCAACAAAGACAGCUAUCUUUGGAUGAUGCCCUUCUCAUCUCAUGCUAUUAUGAGUGCCAAAAAUAGUUGAAAUUAUUUAUCAUCUGAGGACAUUUCCAUUUACUGACUGCAGGGAAACCCAGAGCAAUGGCAUAAAACCAUCAAACUACAUUUUGUCUUCAGUAUGAAAACUGACUUUAGAAGAUUCUGUCCAUCACUGUCCACUCCAGCCACACAUUUAUUUCCAUGUAAAAUUGCCAGAGCUAUAGAGAACUGCCCUGGGUCAAGCACAGGUGUUCAAUGGGUGAAAGAAGGUAUUGCUAACCCUUUUGCAGAGAUACUACAGCUCCAAUAGAAACCAUUCUGUCAAUACAGAGGCAGAGCUAGAGAGGAGUAGAAUCCCCUUAAGUUAGAGCCACGAUUCAUUUUAACUAACUCAUUUGUAAGAAUAUAUUUUUUAGUUGGAUGAAAUGAAAUGACAUUCACAUUGCUGAGUUGCCAUGGUUUCAGAUCAGUACUGCCCAAUUCAGGGUCCCCACAGAGGCUCUCUCAAAGCAGGUGCUGCUCACCAGCUCCUUUCCCCCACCUGCCUUCCCCCUUCCUGCUCUGAGGACAGAGCUGAGAAUUGGAGGCACAAAAGCUGCAAAUCAUGGGCUGAGAUAAGAACAAUUUACUGGGAACAGAAAUGAGAUAGGAAAACUAACUGUAACUGCAACAAUAUUAGUAACAAAUGGCAUGAGACAAAGAAACGAUUUACAUGGAAACGGAGACAGACACUGACCAACUCUUCCCCACCAUUUCUCCGCCAGAAGGGGAAGUCCUUCUUUCCCCACCCCAGAAAUAAUGUAAAGUGGUAUUGAGUAGCAUUAUGAAUUUGGCUGUGCCCCAUCCCACUGAUUUGGGCUGAAACCAGGACAAUUGGGAAUUUAAUUUAAUAACUUUCUAAAAAACACCUUCUCUUUUUAAACCGAAGUUUGAAAAGUUAUCAGCAUUUUUGAAAUUGUUAAGAAAUCCAGAAGGAAAGGUUUUUUUCCUUCCUUGACACCUUAAAUUUUUAUGACUUUUCACAUAUGUCAAUGUAUCAACCUCAGAAUUCUGCAAGAUAAAAGCUAAUAUAAUCAGCAGGACCAAAAGAAAUGAAGAGCAGAAGCUUUUCAGUUACAGAGGGGGAGAGGAGAAGAGGACAGGGAUCAAAGUGCAAUAAUUUUUAUUGGAUUAGCAAAUAAAUUAUAAUACAAAGGCUUUUUAGAACUGACAAUUGAAAGAGGAACUGCAGAAGUCUGUAAAGUUAUAAUUGGUUCAUCGAAUUAAAUCAGAUAGUAAAAUAUUGGGUGUCACAACCUCUUCUAAGGACUAGCUCUUAAAUAGACACUUUUUAUAGGAUUCAUUUUCUGAUGAGAUGAGAUUCAUUUCACCUAACUUUAAAUAUCUACUUCGUAGUUUUCUACAUCUGAGAUAGUCUCUCUAACCUCCCUUUAUAUCAUUGAUAAAAAUGACAAUUUAGAGUCCAAUUAAUUUGAUUUAUUUUGGUUGCCUACUUUGACAUGAGAUGAAUAACAUGCAAGAAGAGGUUUUUUUUCUCCACAGAUUAAAAAAAGUCUGUGAGAGAACAAGGUCAGAUAUUUAUAUCUACAUUGUGGAGCUCUGAGUUUGGAUAAAUUCAUUUACAUGGUUCACAGAAUAUCAUCUUCAUAAACCUUAUUUAUUUCAGUUAUUGGAAUCACUUAGGUGAAAAAUGUCUUGUCUGGAGGUAAAUGAUGUAAUAACUGGAGGUAAAUGGUAAUAUCUGAAAGAAAAGGGUAAAAGGACAUGAAAAGCUUUUGAUUUAGUUUAUUGCUCACUUUUCAAGACAAUUUGGAUUUAAAAUAUUUCUGCUCUUAUUCAAAAUUAAUUGCAAAAACUCUCUGUCACUAAAAGUCUGUGUAUUUAUUUACCAGACCUCAUUUCCUGGAUAAAGUGAACAGGUUCCAUAUAAGAGGGAGCAAAUCCUAGCAGAGUGGUGUCAGAGUUUCAAAAGGCAAUGAGAGCUGCAAGAAGACAGUGAUGGGAUCUUCUUUUAGAUAAUCUAAUGUAGAGGGAAAGAGAAGACAAGGCUCCAGCACAUCAUCUUGUCAAAUGUCUGCCUUUUUUGAUUGUGUUGUGUCAUCUCUGCUAGAUGAUGAGGUCUCAAGUAACGGCUUGAGAUAUUGAGCAUAUGAUUGCUUUAAAUUGCUUACACAGAGAAAACAAUUGUGAUCACAGGGGAGCAGAACUUUUCUUGUGGGCAAUAUUUUGGGCACCCUUCAUUUAUACAUGUGAGGGACUUCUGUGUUUUUGAGGGGAGCAUUUGUGUGUCUUUGGUUUCACACAUUAAGCAGCUGUCUCUUUGAGCUUUGGAGUAAAACAGGCUAGUGCUUUAACAUAAUUUGGAUGCCAGGAUCACACAGAUUUCAAAACUUCCUCAUACAAUAUGCUCUUUUUAGACCUUGUGGCUCCCUCAGACAAUUCAAGUAUAUAAUUUAUUGAUAGAAAUAUCUACAUAUCAUGACAAAGUGCUCUAGGAAUUUUAUAUAAUCACAUUGAGAAACCACAUCUACCCUCAGAAAACAAGAGUAGCUGCAAUGAGCUAUCAGAAGGAAGACUGUACUGAGAGUUUCUCCAUUUUUAUCAAAGGAUGCUGUGUUUUAUUUGUAUUCUUUCAUAUAUGUUUAAUUCAGUUCUUCACAAAGCAAAAAUCCUGAGGUGCUUUUCCAUGGAAGCUAAUGGGACUUGGCUGCCUCUUUGCUGCACAAGUCAGUACCACACAGAAUUCUGUAGUGCCAGGAUCAGUCCAUAGGUUUUUGGGCCCUUGAGGAUAGUCACAGAAUGAUGCAUCUCAUUGCUGCAGCUCCCAGUGACCUGUUCUGGUUGUGGUCUCCUGAUUAUCUCACUAAAAACCUGCUGAUGGCUGCUUCCCCUCUUCAGUCACGGUGUGGGUUCCUGCAUGCAGCCUUACCCUACCACACCCAGAUCCUCUGGCAUGGUGAGCUCCUCCCUUGCCUGGUAUAAUAAAUGUUAGAAUAAAUUCGUGCUUAUAAAAAGGGUAUGUAUGAAAUACGUCAUAUUUGUAAGAUGCCUGUCAGAAAUAGUACCAAGGUUUAGAAAUCACACAUAGGGUCUUGAGAGAAGAUUACCUCACUGCAUUUGAAAUCACUGGUGGUCACUGAAUAGAGUUCCAAAUUGGCAAGUGAAGGAGCUGGCCACUGCGGAAAUGUUGGGUGAUUUCAGCAACCCCCAAGCCAUCAACGAUCAAUAAUGACUAAAGAUGGAGAUAACCCAGAACCCGCAUCCCAAUGCCUGGUUCUUGUACAGAAUUAACAUUCAUCUUUUCCAGGAGCUUGCUAUUGUACCCCCAAGAACUGCUUUGUCUACCUGGAGACAGGCUUUUUCCGACUCUGAGAAGAGAGAGAAGACUGCAUGAAUAUGCGAAGGAGAAGAAAAGAACAAGAGGAACUUUGACCCGGGCAAGAAAAACAGUAUAAAACCCAAGCUCACCAGAUGAGCUUGGUGAACACUGUGGGUUGCGAUGUGAUAGAGGUCGGAACGAGGUUCACCCAGCGCCAAUCCUGGGCUCAACGCUGUCCUUUCGAUUGUGGCUAUUGAAAUUGUAUUUUGAUUUGCAAAAUAAAUUCUGUUUCUUUUAUUUAAUUUGGCUCUCUCGGUCAUCAAUUCGGCCUUA